AACGAACGCUGGCGGCAGGCUUAACACAUGCAAGUCGAGCGAGGACUUCGGUCCUAGCGGCGGACGGGUGAGUAACGCGUGGGAACGUGCCCCUUGGUACGGAAUAGCCCCGGGAAACUGGGAGUAAUACCGUAUGAGCUCUACGGAGGAAAGAUUUAUCGCCAAGGGAUCGGCCCGCGUUGGAUUAGGUAGUUGGUGGGGUAAUGGCCUACCAAGCCGACGAUCCAUAGCUGGUUUGAGAGGAUGAUCAGCCACACUGGGACUGAGACACGGCCCAGACUCCUACGGGAGGCAGCAGUGGGGAAUCUUGCGCAAUGGGCGAAAGCCUGACGCAGCCAUGCCGCGUGAAUGAUGAAGGUCUUAGGAUUGUAAAAUUCUUUUACCAGGGACGAUAAUGACGGUACCUGGAGAAAAAGCCCCGGCUAACUUCGUGCCAGCAGCCGCCGUAAGAC
rnacentral:rRNA from 1 species